GUGACUGCGUACCUUUUGUAUAAUGGGUCAGCGACUUAUAUUCUGUAGCAAGGUUAACCGAAUAGGGGAGCCGGAGGGAAACCGAGUCUUAAUUGGGCGUUAAGUUGCAGGGUAUAGACCCGAAACCCGGUGAUCUAGCCAUGGGCAGGUUGAAGGUUGGGUAACACUAACUGGAGGACCGAACCGACUAAUGUUGAAAAAUUAGCGGAUGACCUGUGGCUGGGGGUGAAAGGCCAAUCAAACCGGGAGAUAGCUGGUUCUCCCCGAAAGCUAUUUAGGUAGCGCCUCGUGAAUUCAUCUCCGGGGGUAGAGCACUGUUUCGGCUAGGGGGCCAUCCCGGCUUACCAACCCGAUGCAAACUGCGAAUACCGGAGAAUGUUAUCACGGGAGACACACGGCGGGUGCUAACGUCCGUCGUGAAGAGGGAAACAACCCAGACCGCCAGCUAAGGUCCCAAAGUCAUGGUUAAGUGGGAAACGAUGUGGGAAGGCCCAGACAGCCAGGAUGUUGGCUUAGAAGCAGCCAUCAUUUAAAGAAAGCGUAAUAGCUCACUGGUCGAGUCGGCCUGCGCGGAAGAUGUAACGGGGCUAAACCAUGCACCGAAGCUGCGGCAGCGACACUGUGUGUUGUUGGGUAGGGGAGCGUUCUGUAAGCCUGCGAAGGUGGCCUGUGAGGGUUGCUGGAGGUAUCAGAAGUGCGAAUGCUGACAUAAGUAACGAUAAAGCGGGUGAAAAGCCCGCUCGCCGGAAGACCAAGGGUUC
rnacentral:rRNA from 1 species